UCCCGUUCCACGACAUGAGUUUGACCGGCAACUCGUCUCUGAUCGGCUCCCAGUUGCUCUCGUGCUCCGCCUGACGAAACGGCGGCGUUUGGACGACUUUAUGGCCUGUGACACCGAGAAAGAACGACGACUCGCUCGCCGUUAGGUAUUUGCCGUAACAGCUCUUGAGACGGAUGAAAUUGGGCUUGCGUGGCACCAUCUCCACCGUCCAUACCGAUUGCCGUGACGUUCCGUCAGAGCUUUGACGGACGGCUUUUUCGUCGUCGACGGCGAAGAGGUAAUUUUCGUGACAGCUGCGUAAUCUAACGGCGGAACCUCUGGUGAAUAACUCCAUUUUUUCUUUCCCUCGUUUAGGACACGGCGAGAUUUUUUUGUUUUGAAAUGGUCGUAUGUUUUCUCCAUUUAUAUACGCUAUUUUCUUAUUAUUUGUUAUCCAAAUAUUACAAUUUCAUAGUAUUAAAUGUUUUCCGCGUAGAUAUGUUAGGAGAUUAUUAUGUUUCCUUCGUUAAAUUAUUAUUGUUAAUAUAUGAUGACAUUGUCAAUAAAAUUUUCCAGGCUGUUCAUCAAUAGUCUCUCGUCCAGAUGUCAGCAGCAAAGCCUCUUGUUCCCUUUAAUAAUAGUAGUUGUAAUUUAUGGUUUUUAUAUUAUAUCAUUAAAAGUCAAAUUUCUUUUUAUUUUUAUUUUUAUUUUUACUAGAGUUUGAUACUUAGAUUAUAUAACAAAACAUAGAGAUUAUGUUAUUUUUUUUGUGGGAACAAGAUAUUAUGUUAUAUAUUAUGAAUUUUUAACAGGUCAAAGUGAUAAAUGACAUACUAACUAAAUCUCAGCAAAGGUAAAACUAGCAGAUUUUUUGUAAUGUAAACUUUAUUGUUCACAUUUCACACAAUGUAAUCCAGAAUAAAUAUAUAAAGCUAAAGUAAAAUGUCAGUGUUUGUUAAUACUUUUCCUAAACUGGUAAAUACAAUUUUUGAGAUUUUGUUUUGCAAUAUAUAGAUUAAUUCUGAAAAGAAAACAAUUUUUAAGUAUUUAAAUGAAAUGACAUGACAACUGUUUAAUAUUUUUAUGAAAUUUUAAUAUUUUUUAAUUUAUUUGAUAAAUUGUUUGAUAUAUAUUUUUGAUGAAUUUUUAAUUAUAAAAAUUAUAUGAUGUCAAUUUAUUUAACCUAAUAUUUUAUUUAUAUACAUGAUUUAAUUUAAUAUGAAAGCUUAUUUAAUUUUAAAUGAAAGGAGUUUUUUUAUUUAUGAAAGUAUAAAUAAAAUAAUCUAUUAAUUUAACUUAUUUAAAAUUAACUAAAAUUAUUUUGUAGUAUCUAAACUUGCACACACAAAAAAACAAUUAUACAUUUUUCAACGUUUUAUAUUAUUUAGUUGAGUCUAUAUGUUGAUGGAAAAAAUAUAUUUUUGACUAAAGAUUGAGACCAUUAAAAUGUUUCUGUUUUAAUAAAAGAGGUUAUAUAAUAUAGCAUAUGACUAAAUCUUAGAUCCACUAAAAUGUUUAUAUUUGAAUAAGAAAUAUUUAUUAAGUUAUUUGAAAGAAAAUAAACAAGAAUUUAUUAAAAAAAGUUGAUUCAAUGUUUAUGUUGUUUAGACUCAAAUUUAAUUAUUGAGUUUUUGGAAACAUAUAUAGUACUAUAAUGUUGUUUCUAUAAUAUCUUUAUGAAGUUUUAGUAUUUUCAUUAAUUACCAGUGAUAUUUUAUGUAAUAUAAGAUAUGACUAAAUGUUAGGUUAUUUAAAAUAUUUCUGUUUUAAUAAAAAAUAUUAUAUAAUGUAACAUAUGAGUAAGAAAUAUUAUAUAAUGUAACAUUAUAAAGAUAUAUUUGCUAAAUCCUCUUUCUGAGAAAAAAACGUUUGUAUUCUAAAAACAAUGGAGAUGAAAAGAAUGGUUUUAUUUAUGGUGAUGAUGUUGACGAUCGGAAACCUUAUGGUUGAGUCGAAAGUUACAAACAGAAGUUUUCAGCUAUGUUUCAAGAUGUGUUUUAACAUAUGUAUCAUUGGCCCACCACGAGACAAAUUUGGAUGUUUCGGUAAAUGUACUAGGGAAUGUACUGGGAAAAAAAUCGAAAUCAAUUGUGUUUCUUCUCAAGAUCCGAGUAAGUUUAAUUCUCCAAUAAUCGUAUAUUUUAUAUAAAUGUAUAUUUAUAUUCACUGAGCAUUAUUUUUUUUUGCUAAAAUCUACUUAUAUCUUUGUCUUUUUGUUGUUGUGUGUCGGCCCAUUACCACACUCUCCUCGUUAUCAUCUGCAAUUAAAUAUUUCUCGUGUGUGCGCAGUCUCACCGAUUUCGCAAUGCGAAAGAUAUCAAUCGCUGAUGAAUGUUCAUCAAAUUUCGUCGAAUUUUUUUUCUGUUCCAAAAUCAAAUUAUAAAUUAAUCACCAAAUUAGUACGUUUAAAUUAAUAAAAAUUCAAUGACACAAUUAUUAUGAAUUUUAAAAAUAUAAAAUAUGUUAUUCCAAACCUCUGUUGGUUUAGGGGUUGAUGUCCCCGACAUUGACGGAGUAGACGUAAGCUUCGAAGAAGAAACCGACACAGGAUCCGACCCGAUGGAUUCAGAAGAUCCAAAUGUCGGUGAUUCUUUAACCGAUGAUUCGUGAGUUGACUCGUCGUUAACCGUUGAGUUAAAACUCGAAGCCGGCGACGAAAAGCCAUCAGCGAACGAAACAUUCUCAGGAUUCUCAACGACCUCGACGGUCCACAAGAUCCAUUUCUUAUGCACGUGCGGCUCAUGAUCGUGCGUGACGGAGUUUUUCCACGGCGGCGAUCCACCGUUCCCGCGCAAAUAUGUCCCGUUCCACGACAUGAGUUUGACCGGCAACUCGUCUCUGAUCGGCUCCCAGUUGCUCUCGUGCUCCGCCUGACGAAACGGCGGCGUUUGGACGACUUUAUGGCCUGUGACACCGAGAAAGAACGACGACUCGCUCGCCGUUAGGUAUUUGCCGUAACAGCUCUUGAGACGGAUGAAAUUGGGCUUGCGUGGCACCAUCUCCACCGUCCAUACCGAUUGCCGUGACGUUCCGUCAGAGCUUUGACGGACGGCUUUUUCGUCGUCGACGGCGAAGAGGUAAUUUUCGUGACAGCUGCGUAAUCUAACGGCGGAACCUCUGGUGAAUAACUCCAUUUUUUCUUUCCCUCGUUUAGGACACGGCGAGAUUUUUUUGUUUUGAAAUGGUCGUAUGUUUUCUCCAUUUAUAUACGCUAUUUU
rnacentral:lncRNA from 1 species